GCGAAUGUAGCUUAAUUAAAGCAUAACACUGAAGACGUUAAGAUGAGCCCUAAAAAGCUCCAUAAGCA
rnacentral:tRNA from 1 species